rnacentral:lncRNA from 1 species
UUUAAAUCCAUUAUUCAUGAGCGUACAAAUUUUUUAGAACAGUAUAAAAAUUUUAUGCUUAAAGAAGAGGAAAAACAUAUUAUGAAAAAUGGAAGUAAAAAAAAAGGAAGUGAACAAGAAGGGAGUUCCAGUGCUCGUACCGGCCAUGUAGGUAGUGACGACAUAGACACUACCGCUGUUAGUAAAGACAACAUAGACAGUCCUAUCGUUAAUAAGGAAAACAUAGACGCUACUAAUAAUAGUAACAGUAAUUCACAUACCCCCUAUAAAAUAACUAACAAAAGCAAAGACGUUGACAAUACAACUAAAUAUACAAAUGAAUGGGAAGACAUAAGAAAAAGCCCAGAAUUUAAUAGUAUACACCAAAAAAAACAACAAAAAAAGAUCUUUGCUCAAUUUAAUGAUAAUGUAAGUUUCUAUAAUAAAAUGAAAUUACAGAUUUUUAUGUAUUUUAUUCAAAAUAAUUAUAAAAUUAAAAUAUUGAUUGAUGCAUUAUCAGCAUUAAAUCGUCCAAUAAAUAUUAUAUAUAUAAAUUGUCCAGAUAAUAAAGAAAGAAAAAAAACGGUUUUUGAAAAAAUAAAUCAUUUAUUCUUACCAAAUUAUAAAGAGGUUAAUGAUGAAUUUAUAAACAAUAAUAAUACGAAGUACCAAAAUAAGGACCAUCUUAGAAAUCAAUAUAGUGAUUAUAAUAGUUACCAAAAUAAUUGCUCUUGUUCAGAAGCACCAUCAACUAGUUAUACCAAUUUGAAUAUUCCAUACACUCAAAAAAAAAAAUCAAAUUACGCUGGUGGAUAUAAUCCUAUAAGUAAUACUAUAUGGUUGUGUGCUAAUAAUAUUAAUAGUUUUUAUAAAUUAAAAUAUAUAUUAACUCAUGAACUUAUACAUGCUUUUGAUUUUGCUAGGUCAAAUAUAGACAUGUAUAAUUGUCAUCAAGUUGCUUGUUCAGAAAUAAGAGCUUAUAAUAUGAGUAACCAAUGUAGCUAUUUUAACAGUAAAUAUUUUUUAUCUGACCAUGACGUUUUUAAAUACUUGAAAACCCCAACUAUUAAUGAUACUGCCAAAAAUAAAUGCAUAUAUAAUAAUGUUUAUUCAUCCUUAUACCAAUAUAAACCAUGUAAAACUAAUACACAUCAUUUUAUAAAUAACGUUUGGGAAAAAUGUACAAAGGAUUAUUGGCCAUUUAUGUGUCCACCUGAGCAGGAUAGCAAAUAUAAGCCUUCUAAAAUUUUGAAUAAAGACUGAUAAUAAAAAAAAAAAAAAAAAAAAAAAAAUAGAAAUA